UACGAAGGGUGCAAGCGUUAUUCGGAGUAAUUGGGCGUAAAGGGUGCGCAGGCGGUAUAUUAAGUCAACUGUCAAAUUUCCCAGCUUAACUGGGAGCAGGCGGUAGAUACUGGUAUACUUGAGGGUGGAAGAGAGAAGUGGAAUUCUCGGAGUAGCGGUAAAAUGCGUAGAUCUCGAGAGGAACACCGAUGGCGAAGGCAGCUUCUUGGUCCAUAUCUGACGCUCAUGCACGAAAGCGUGGGGAGCAAACAGG
rnacentral:rRNA from 1 species